CUUCACAGCCAUGUCACCCUGCAGCCCUAGACCGGUUACUCACUGAAGCUAAGCAGGGCUGAGCCUGGUCAGCACCUGGAUGGGAGACCACUAGGGAACACUAGGUUGCUGUUGGAA
rnacentral:rRNA from 1 species